CACUAGUCAUUCCUCUAGAAAAUCUCCAGCCGCUGCCCUCCAUCUGAUAUUUCUCAGCCGUCGUAUAUCUGUUGGCUAGCGCUCGGCUUCUUUCGCACACGCUCCUGCUGCCGGUACCCAGUCCUACGGCCCCUCCUCUCUCCACCUCGACUCGCCGGCGUUGCUCGGCUGCAGCUCGUCGGAGCUUCCUGUUCUCAGCGCGCCGACCUCCCUCUUCUCCUUCAUGUCCGGCCGCCGGUCUGGCCGAGGACCCUGGUCGUGGGGUCGCGUCCUCCUCCCUCGUCGCGGACCUGCCGUGUCCUGGGCGCCAUUCCAGCACUGCCAGGUUCCGCGCCAUCGUGCCUCUGGGUCCUCGCCGCGGUUCAGGCCGUCGAUGCCUGUUGCCCCGACGCUCCCUCACGCUCCUUUAUCAGCCUCGCCUAGACCUCCGCCUCCUCGUCGGACUGCACACACGCCGCCGCCAUUUCUUGCAGUUUCGUCGCGCCAUCCCCUCUGAUUUCCUUGUCCUCGUCGGCUUAAACUCCGUUGACGUACCCUGCAAGCAGGUUUGACGCCCUCUCAAUUAUUCUGCUCGUUUCACUAACCGAUGCCUGUGCCUUGAGGUUAACUAUGUGUAUGUGUGUAUGUAUCGAGAGAAAAUCUAAAUCAUGUAGAAUAGUGAAGUCCAGUUCGUCGCUCGCCGGUGCUCGAUAUAUUGCCUGAGUCGGAUUUGUCACCAUUUUCGCGAGUCCUGACUCGAUUUAGGUAUUGUGUAAGUUUAGAUUCGCUUGCAGUGAAGUUUAGUUCAAUCAGUUAGUCUUCGAAUAUUUGCGCAAUUAGAAAUAUUUUUUUUCCAUUAGUGAAAUAAAUCACACAAUGGAAGUAAUAAAAUGAAUAAUUUGUUGUAUCUGAUUUUGGGAUUGAAUGGAGUCCAUGGACCACAAUUCACAAGUUGAUCCUUGGCGUGUGCUUUAUGUAGCUAGAACUAUAAUUCACUUGAUGCUUCAUCUUCUCAUACGUAAGGUCUAAAACUCAUAAUCGUCGUCGGUUCCGCUGUAGUCGAGUCGAAUUGAUUAUGAUACUAUUAAAUCUUGGAGUUUCUCGCAGCUAAGCUUAAUUCAGUUUGGGUAUGGAUAGUUAGAUAACUAGUUUAAGUGUACUUAAUCACCUUUCUUUAAUAAAGUAAAUACUAGAUAAUUAAGAAAGAUUGGAUAAUGUUGAGUGAAGUCCAUGGAACGUCGACCUUGGUUAAUCCAUGGCACGCCUGUGAUGUUUGCCUGAAUGCAAGCUAGGAUGAGUUGCUUCUAAAUGAGUAACUCCAUUUUUACUCUAAAUUAGUAUGUUUAUCUAAUCAUCUUGUUAUAUGGUGGACUAGUAAGUACCUUAGGCAAUACUUUAUUAAUCUAUAAUGUACUAUUGGAGCUUAUAAAACUAGUUAAAUUACUCUUAACUUUAAUCUAAGUCUUAGGUGGCUAUCACUGGUGAAUCUAAGUUUUAGUAAUGUCGGGGACCAUAAUUAGGGGUACCCUCAAGACGCCUAAUUCUCAGCUGGUAACCUCCAUCAGCAUAAAGCUGCAAAGGCCUGAUGGGUGCGAUUAAGUCAGGGAUCAGUCCAUACGAGUGACUCGAUCACGCUUCACCCGAGCCUAGCCUCGGACUCGGGCAGCCGACCUCGAGGGACUUCCGUCUCGCCCGAGGCCCCCCUUUUAACGGCGGACACAUCUCCGGCUCGCCCGAGGCCUUGGCUUCGCUAAGAAGCAACCCUGACUAAAUCGCCGCACCGACUGACCGAGUUGCAGGGGCAUUUAACGCAAAGGUGGCCUGACACCUCUAUCCUGACGCACGCCCCCCGGCAGAGCCGAAGUGACCGCCGUCACUCCGCUGCUCCACUGACCGGUCUGACAGAAGGACAGCGCCGCCUGCGCCACUCCGACUGCGGUGCCACUCGACAGAGUGAGUCUGACAGGCAGUCAGGCCUCGCCAGGGGCGCCAUAGCGAACUCCGCUCCGCGCCGACCCCAGGGCUCGGACUCGGGCUAAGACCCGGAAGACGGCGAACUCCGCUCCGCCCGACCCCAGGGCUCGGACUCGGGCUAAGACCCGGAAGACGGCGAACUCCGCUCCGCCCGACCCCAGGGCUCGGACUCGGGCUAAGACCCGGAAGACGGCGAACUCCGCUCCGCCCGACCCCAGGGCUCGGACUCGGGCUAAGACCCGGAAGACGGCGAACUCCGCUCCGCCCGACCCCAGGGCUCGGACUCGGGCUAAGACCCGGAAGACGGCGAACUUUGCUCCGCCCGACCCCAGGGCUCGGACUCGGGCUAAGACCCGAAAGACGGCGAACUCCGCUCCGCCCGACCCCAGGGCUCGGACUCGGGCUCGGCCCCGGAAGACGACGAACUCCGCCUCGCCCGACCCCAGGGCUCGGACUCCGCCCUGGCCUCUGCCGAACGACUUCCGCCUCGCCCGACCCAGGGGCUCGGACUCGGCCUCGGCAACGGAAGACAGAUUCGACCCCAGAUUCGGAGGAGCCCCCACGUCGCCUGGCCUCGGGCGCGGGCCCGCCACGUCAACAGGGAGCGCCAUCACCACUCUACCCCGAGCCGACUCGGGCUGCAGAGAACAAGACCGAUGUCCCAUCUGGCCAGCUCCGCCAGAUAGACAAUGAUGGCGCCUCCCAAGCUCUAUGACGGCGGCGGCUCUCAGCUCUCUUACGGAAGCAGGUGGACGUCAGCAAGGACUCGACCGCUCCGACAGCUGUCCUUCCGCCAAGCUCCGUCGCUCCUCCGACAGCCACGACAUCACACCAGCAGGGUGCCAAGAUCUCUCCGGCUGCCACAUUGGCAUGUACUUAGGGCGCUAGCUCUCCCUCCGCUAGACACGUAGCACUCUGCUACACCCCCAUUGUACACCUGGAUCCUCUCCUUACGACUAUAAAAGGAAGGACCAGGGCCUUCUUAGAGGAGGUUGGCCGCGCGGGACCGAGGACGGGACAGGCGCUCUCUUGGGGCCGCUCGCUUCCCUCACCCGCGUGGACGCUUGUAACCCCCCUACUGCAAGCGCACCCGACCUGGGCGCGGGACGAACGCGAAGGCCGCGGGACUUCCACCUCUCUCACGCCCGUCUCCGGCCACCUCGCCUCUCCCCCCUUCGCGCUCGCCCACGCGCUCGACCCAUCUGGGCUGGGGCACGCAGCACACUCACUCGUCGGCUUAGGGACCCCCCGGUCUCGAAACGCCGACAGUUGGCGCGCCAGGUAGGGGCCUGCUGCGUGUUGACGAACAGCUUCCCGUCAAGCUCCAGAUGGGCAGUCUCCAGCAACCUCUCCGACCCGGGACGGUGCUCCGUUUCGGGAGUCUUGAGUUCAUGUCCUUCGACGGCAGCUACGACAUGAUACUCCUUCCACCGCCGUGCGACAACGACAAUGGCGGCCGACAACCCGCCCGCCGGCAGCGGAAUCGACGACAUCUUCCCCGCGUGGUGGAAGAACAACAUUCGGGCUCGCUCCGUGCUCUCCCCCGCCAACGGAGGAGGAGGCGGGGCAACCAAGGCCAAGCGGGAGGCCGCGCUUCGUCGGCCGUCGAGCGAAUCGACGCCCCCGACGCCCAGACGGAAGGCACGCCAGGCGUCGACCUCGCGUUCGAGACGAAGGCAAGCGCCGUCCCCCCGCGACACGCUGAUCCCGAGCAAGAAGACGACGUCAGCGCGCUCGCGGAAAGCUUGCAGGACGUCGCCCUUGUACCUGAGAUGACGGCGCAACCAGUCCCCGAUGUGACUACGUCGCUCCGCGUCGACCAAAAGGUACUGACUAAUCCCCAUCUUACGUCAUUUCGACUCGGCCUCAACCCGCCUAGCAACCUUGCUUUGGCGGGCGCUCUCAUUGAGGCGAGUGCAACCCCACUGGGGUUUCGUAUGCGGUCGCCUUGGGACCGGUUGACGGACGUCUCAACCUACGGGCCCUCUGGGUCCGAGGAAGAUGACGAUCCCAGCAUCUGUUGGGAUUUCUCUGGACUUGGCAACCCCAGUGCCAUGCGGGACUUCAUGACCGCAUGUAACUACUGCCUCUCCUACUGUUCCGACGGAAGCCGCAGCCUUAACUACGAGGACUGCGGCCCAAGCCGCGAAUGUUUCCACAUCGAGCUAGGGGAUCCCUCCGAAGGAAACCAUCUCGGCAUGCCGGAGGACGGAGAUCUUCCUAGGCCGGUGCCUCGCGCCGACAUCCCGCGGGAGCUAGCUGUGGUCCCCGUUCCGGCGGGGGGUCACGACCCACAACUCGAGCAAGUCCGCGGGGCGCAGGCCAGGCUCAACGAGGGAACAGGAGCGCUUGAGCCGAUCCGUCGGGACGUCGGACAGGUAUGGGCGGGCCAACCCCCGGCCGGAGAAAUACGUCACCUGCCCCAAGGUCUCCAGCACUGCGUCGCCAACGAUGUCAGGGUCAGGCCGCCGCCCGCAUCCAGCGGGGUUGGUCAGAACCUGGCAGCCGCAGCGAUGCUCCUCCGCGCGAUGCCGGAGCCAUCAACUACCGAGGGUCGGCGGAUCCAGGGAGAGCUCAAGAAUCUCCUGGAAGGCGCUGCGGCCCGACGGGCCGAGAGCACUGCCUCCCGAAGGCAGGGAUACCCCUCGGAACCUCAUGCCGCGACUUCCCGAUUCAUGCGGGAAGCCUCGGUCUACAUCGGACGCACGCGCAACACCGCGCCUGCGGCCCCGGGCCACCUCGGCAACGAGCACCAUCGACAUGACCGUCGGGCCCACCUCGACGAAAGGGUGCGCCGAGGCUACCACCCCAGGCGUGGGGGGCGCUACGACAGCGGGGAGGAUCGGAGUCCCUCGCCCGAACCACCCGGUCCGCAGGCCUUCAGUCGGGCCAUCCGACGGGCGCCGUUCCCGACCCGGUUCCGACCCCCGACUACCAUCACAAAGUACUCGGGGGAAACGAGACCGGAACUGUGGCUCGCGGACUACCGCCUGGCCUGCCAACUGGGUGGAACGGACGACGACAACCUCAUCAUCCGAAACCUCCCCCUGUUCCUCUCCGACACUGCUCGCGCCUGGUUGGAGCACCUGCCUCCGGGGCAGAUCUCCAGCUGGGACGACUUGGUCCAAGCCUUCGCCGGCAAUUUCCAGGGCACAUAUGUGCGCCCCGGGAAUUCCUGGGACCUUCGAAGCUGCCGGCAACAGCCAGGAGAGUCGCUCCGGGACUACAUCCGGCGAUUCUCGAAGCAGCGCACCGAGCUGCCCAACAUCACCGACUCGGAUGUCAUCGGCGCGUUCCUUGCCGGCACUACUUGUCGUGACCUGGUGAGCAAGUUGGGUCGCAAAACCCCCACCAGGGCGAGCGAGCUGAUGGACAUCGCUACCAAGUUCGCCUCUGGCCAGGAGGCGGUCGAGGCUAUCUUCCGAAAGGACAAGCAGCCCCAGGGCCGCCCAUCGGAAGAGGCUCCCGAGGCGUCUACUCCGCGCGGCGCCAAGAAGAAGGGCAAGAAGAAGUCGCAAUCGAAACGCGACGCCGCCGACGCGGACCUUGUCGCCGCCGCCGAGUACAAGAACCCUCGGAAGCCCCCCGGAGGUGCAAACCUCUUCGACAAGAUGCUCAAGGAGCCGUGCCCCUAUCAUCAGGGGCCCGUCAAGCACACUCUCGAGGAGUGCGCCAUGCUUCGGCGCCACUUCCACAGGGCCGAGCCACCCGUAGAGGGUGGCAGGGCCCACGACGACGACAAGAAAGAAGAUCACCAAGCAGGAGAAUACCCCGAGGUCCGCGACUGCUUCAUGAUCUACGGUGGGCAUGCGGCGAAUGCCUCGGCUCGGCAUCGCAAGCAAGAGCGCCGGGAGGUCUGCUCGGUGAAGGUGGCGGCGCCAGUCUACCUAGACUGGUCCGACAAGCCCAUCACCUUCGACCAGGCUGACCACCCCGACCACGUGCCGAGCCCGGGGAAAUACCCGCUCGUCGUCGACCCCGUCAUCGGCAACGUCAGGCUCACCAAGGUCCUGAUGGAUGGGGGCAGCUGCCUCAACGUCAUCUACGCCGAGACCCUCAAGCUCCUGCGCGUCGAUCUGUCCUCCAUCCGAGCAGGUGCUGCGCCCUUCCACGGGAUCAUCCCUGGGAAGCGCGUCCAGCCCCUCGGACGACUCGACCUCCCCGUCUGCUUCGGAACGCCCUCCAACUUCCGAAGGGAGACCUUGACGUUCGAGGUGGUCGGGUUCCGAGGAACCUACCACGCGGUACUGGGAAGGCCACGCUACGCGAAGUUCAUGGCCGUCCCCAACUACACCUACCUGAAGCUCAAGAUGCCGGGCCCCAACGGGGUCAUCACCGUCGGUCCCACGUACAAACACGCAUUCGAAUGCGACGUGGAGUGCGUGGAGUACGCCGAGGCCCUCGCCGAGUCCGAGGCCCUCAUCGCCGACCUGGAGAACCUCUCCAAAGAGGUGCCAGAUGUGAAGCGUCAUGCCGGCAACUUCGAGCCAGCGGAGACGGUUAAGGCCGUCCCUCUCGACCCCCGUGGCGACACCUCCAAGCAGAUCCGGAUCGGUUCCGGGCUCGACCCCAAAUAGGAAGCAGUGCUCGUCGACUUUCUCCGCGCAAACGCCGACGUCUUUGCGUGGAGUCCCUCGGACAUGCCUGGCAUACCGAGGGAUGUCGUCGAGCACUCGCUGGAUAUUCGGGCCGGAGCCCGACCCGUCAGACAGCCUCUGCGCCGAUUCGACGAGGAGAAGCGCAGAGCGAUAGGCGAGGAGAUCCACAAGCUAAUGGCAGCAGGGUUCAUCAAAGAGGUAUUCCAUCCCGAAUGGCUUGCCAACCCUGUGCUUGUGAGGAAGAAAGGGGGGAAAUGGCGGAUGUGCGUAGACUACACUGGUCUCAACAAAGCAUGUCCGAAGGUUCCCUACCCUCUGCCUCGCAUCGAUCAAAUCGUGGAUUCCACUGCUGGGUGCGAAACCCUGUCCUUCCUUGAUGCCUACUCAGGGUAUCACCAAAUCCGGAUGAAAGAGUCCGACCAGCUCGCGACUUCUUUCAUCACGCCGUUCGGCAUGUACUGCUAUGUCACCAUGCCGUUCGGUUUGAGGAAUGCGGGCGCGACGUACCAGCGGUGCAUGAACCAUGUGUUCGGCGAACACAUCGGUCGCACAGUCGAGGCCUACGUCGAUGACAUCGUAGUCAAGACAAGGAAGGCUUCCGACCUCCUCUCCGACCUUGAAGUGACAUUUCGAUGUCUCAAGGCGAAAGGAGUCAAGCUCAAUCCUGAGAAGUGUGUCUUCGGGGUGCCCCGAGGCAUGCUCCUGGGGUUCAUCGUCUCCGAGCGAGGCAUCGAAGCCAACCCGGAGAAGAUCGCAGCCAUCACCAGCAUGGGACCCAUCAAGGACUUAAAAGGCGUACAUAGGGUCAUGGGAUGUCUUGCGGCCCUGAGCCGCUUCAUCUCACGCCUCGGCGAAAGAGGUCUGCCUUUGUACCGCCUCUUAAGGAAGGCCGAGUGUUUCGCUUGGACCCCUGAGGCCGAGGAAGCCCUCGGGAACCUGAAGGCGCUCCUUACAAAGGCGCCUGUCUUGGUGCCCCCAGCUGAUGGAGAAGCCCUCUUGGUCUACGUCGCCGCUACCACUCAGGUGGUUAGCGCCGCGAUUGUAGUCGAGAGGCAAGAAGAAGGGCAUGCAUUGCCCGUUUAGAGGCCAGUCUACUUCGUCAGCGAAGUACUGUCCGAGACCAAGAUCCGCUACCCACAAGUUCAGAAGCUGUUGUAUGCUGUGAUCCUGACAAGGCGGAAGUUACGACACUACUUCGAAUCUCAUCCGGUAACUGUGGUGUCAUCCUUCCCCCUGGGGGAGAUCAUCCAGUGCCGAGAAGCCUCGGGCAGGAUCGCAAAGUGGGCGGUGGAAAUCAUGGGCGAAACAAUCUCGUUCGCCCCUCGGAAGGCCAUCAAGUCCCAGGUGUUGGCGGACUUCGUGGCCGAAUGGGUCAACACCCAGCUACCGACGGCUCCGAUCCAACCGGAGCUCUGGACCAUGUUUUUCGACGGGUCGCUGAUGAAGACGGGAGCCGGCGCGGGCCUGCUCUUCAUCUCGCCCCUUGGGAAGCACCUACGCUACGUGCUCCGCCUCCAUUUCCCGGCGUCCAACAAUGUGGCCGAGUACGAGGCUCUGGUCAACGGGUUGCGGAUCGCCAUCGAGCUAGGGGUCAGACGCCUCGACGCCCGCGGUGACUCGCAGCUCGUCAUCGACCAAGUCAUGAAGAACUCCCACUGCCGCGACCCGAAGAUGGAGGCCUACUGCGAUGAGGUUCGGCGCCUGGAAGACAAGUUCUUCGGGCUCGAGCUCAACCACAUCGCUCGGCGCUACAACGAGACUGCAGACGAGCUGGCUAAAAUAGCCUCGGGGCGAACGACGGUCCCCCCGGACGUCUUCUCCCGGGAUCUGCAUCAACCUUCCGUCAAGAUCGACGACGCUCCCGAGCCCGAGGCACCCUCGGCACAGCCCGAGGUACCCUCGGCACAGCCCGAGGCACCCUCGGCACAACCCGAGGUACCCUCGGCCCCCGAGGGCGAGGCGCUGCACGUCGAGGAAGAGCAGAGCGGGGCCACGCCUGAUUGAAAUUGGCAGGCCCCGUACCUGCGAUAUCUCCGCCAGGGAGAGCUACCCCUCGACCAAGCCGAGGCUCGGCAGGUAGCUCGACGCGCCAAGUCGUUCGUCUUGCUGGGCGAUGAGGGGGAGCUCUACCACCGCAGCCCCUCGGGCGUCCUCCAGCGAUGCAUCUCCAUCGCCGAAGGUCAGGAACUCCUGCAAGAAAUACACUCGGGGGCUUGCGGCCAUCAUGCAGCACCCCGAGCCCUUGUCGGGAAUGCUUUCCGGCAAGGCUUCUACUGGCCAACGGCGGUGGCUGACGCCACUAGAAUUGUCCGCACCUGCGAAGGGUGCCAAUUCUAUGCGAAGCAGACCCGCCUGCCCGCUCAGGCUCUGCAGACGAUACCCAUCACCUGGCCCUUUGCUGUAUGGGGUCUGGACCUCGUCGGUCCCUUGCAGAAGGCGCCCGGGGGCUACACGCACCUGCUGGUCGCCAUCGACAAAUUCUCCAAGUGGAUCGAGGUCCGACCCCUGAACAGCAUCAGGUCCGAGCAGGCGGUGGCGUUCUUCACCAACAUCAUCCAUCGCUUCGGGGUCCCAAACUCCAUCAUCACCGACAACGGUACCCAGUUCACCGGCAAAAAAUUCUUGGAUUUUUGCGAAGAUCACCACAUCCGGGUGGACUGGGCCGCCGUGGCUCAUCCCAUGUCGAAUGGGCAAGUGGAGCGUGCCAACGUCAUGAUUCUGCAAGGGCUCAAGCCCCGGAUCUACAACGGCCUCAACAAGUUCGGCAAGCGAUGGAUGAAGGAACUCCCCUCGGUGGUCUGGAGCCUGAGGACAACGCCAAGCCGGGCCACGGGUUUCACGCCGUUCUUCCUGGUCUAUGGGGCCGAGGCCAUCUUGCCCACUGACCUGGAAUACGGCUCCCCGAGGGCGAGGGCCUACAAACGAACAAAGCAACCAAGCUAGCCGAGAAGACUCGCUGGACCAGCUGGAGGAGGCUCGGGACAAGGCCUUACUACACUCGGCGCGGUACCAGCAGUCCCUGCGAUGCUACCACGCCCGAGGGGUCCGGUCCCGAGACCUCCAGGUGGGCGAUCUGGUGCUUCGGCUGCGGCAAGACGCCCGAGGGAGGCACAAGCUCACGCCCCCCUGGGAGGGGCCAUUCGUCAUCGCCAAAAUCCUGAAGCCCGGAACAUACAAGCUGGCCAAUAAUCAAGGCGAGAUCUACGGCAACGCCUGGAACAUCAAACAGCUACGUCGCUUCUACCCUUAAGAUGCUUUCAAGUUGUUCGUAUACUUCGCACCCAUGCAAAGUUUAGUCAUCAAGGAAGGGUCGGCCUCGCCUCGGCAGAGCCCGACCCUCCCUCGGGGGCUAAAAGGGGGGAGACCCCCUCUGCGUCAAAUUUUUCCCUCGAAAAAAGAUCUCUUUUUAGCAGAAUUUCUUUCGUGCUUUUUGACUACUUCGAAAAGCGGAUCCUGGAAACGACGGAGUACACGAAAGCAGCCAAGGCUGACCGAGCCGAGGGACUCCUACGCCUCCGGGAUACGGAUACCUCACUCAUCACCUUCUGCGAUAAGUAACUCGUGUUCGGAUAAAGCGACUCCGUGGACCGAACAAGUCUUCACGUUCGGAAGCUCUUCUGCCAAAGUGGUCCUUCAAGCUUUCUCGACUAAGUCGGAGACAGGGCCUCAUGGACGGGCGAAGGUACGCGUAAGCGGCAAGGCUGACCGAGCCGAGGGACUCCUACGCCUUCGGGAUACGGAUACCUCACUCAUCACCUUCCGCGAGAAGCAACUCUCGCCCGCACAAACAUCCCUGUUACCGACGGAAAGUCCAGAUGCUCGGAAUAAGGGGAAAGGAGACGCAGCUUUGCAAGCGCAGCGAGGGUGUGUUUUCUGGCCUCAGCGGCCGCAGAAGGCACACGCUACAAGACGAUCUGAUCCUGCAGGCUCAGGUCUUCACGCUGAAGGGGGCCGUAGCACCCUCGGCGUCGACGACGUCUUCAGCAAGGUCUGACCCAGCCUCGGACGGCGGCGCGGUCCAGGGACUUCUCCGGGAAUCCGGCCCGAGCAGGCGGCUCGGCCGGCUACCCCCGGGGCCUCGGCCAACCAUCUUCCAAGGGCGCUAGCCCGACCCGAGGCCUCGGCUGAUCGACUCCGGCGUCAGAUCCGCUGACGGACAACCCGGCUAGGCUCCGGCCAACCAGGUUCCCAUUUUCGAGCCAACUCCGCCUCUGUUCGUACUGAUAUCGCUACCCCUGGCCUCGGCUCGUCGAAGAGCGGCCGAGGGGUCUCUUUAACUAAGCUAGAGGAGCCUCAGACAACAAGGCCGAUCGAGCCGAGGGAUUACUACGCCUCCGGGAUACGGAUACCUCACUCGUCACCUUGACACGGGGCGACUCAUGCUUGGUGAAGCGGUACAGAUAAUCAACAGGCGAGACUUAGUGCUCGAAAAUGAGGAAAAAACACGGCUCCGUGCCGAAAUUACAUACAUGUUCAGGCCUCGACAGCCACAAUGAACAUAAAACACUGGCAUUCAAGGUGCCAUCACAAACGGAACUCCGGUUCCGUCCCCGCGGGUACGAGCGACCUCGGGCCUGUGGGGGACGAACAUCGGGAGGCUCGCCAGCGACCUCUGCAACAGCAGCCAUGGUCCCGGGUGGACGCGGCCACCGGAGGGCUCUUGUUCGUGAUCCCGCUCAAGGGACGCGAACAAGCCAUCAAAGCCAAAGAGCGGGCCGCUCCUAAGCGCUCCGGCAGAUCCUCGCUGCCGUCCUCGCCGCGAACGCGAGGGAAAGGGCGGAAUGUUGCAUCCUAGCUGGACAGCAACAGUUCGCCUUCCCCGGCAUGACUGGAGGACGCCUCCGUCGCAGCGCGGGAGGACGAUUGCCACCACCAGAAGCUGGAAGAGGAGGUGGUUCGCCAACCCGCUCAGGAGGUAGAGCCCCGGCUCGCCUCGCUCCCCGCCCCAGCGAGGAUGACGAACACGCCCGAUGCUGGGGACGGGAUCACAGCCUGGUUUGCCUCUCCCCAUCCAGGAGCUGGAGGUCACCGUCUAGGGUGACCACCGGCGGAGGGGAGCAACCAGGCUGUGUGAUGAAAAUCCUUGAAGCCGAACGAUGGCUGAAAGGUACCAACUCCCAUGGAGUUGCGUUCCUCCAACGAGAAGGCGGAAAGACGGUGGGUACCCCCCAUCCGGGGGCUUGGAAGAUGGAAAGACACGACGCAUGAGGGAGGAAGAAGAUGUGGUUGCCUUUCGAAAGGGGUCGCCCUCCUUUUAAAGGCAACUCUCCCUACGUGCGCCCCCAAACGCCGCGGGCUGAGUCUUCUCCAACACGCUCCAAGGCCCACCCCUGCGACUCGGGGGCUGGGUCCCGCAUGUCAUGCAGACCGGCUCCGAGCAGAAGAAGCCAAACCGCCGCGCGUGGUGCGCACAACCGCCCAGCGGUUACAAGCGACCCCCACUUUUGCCCAGACCAACGGGCGGGAGGGGCGAGUAGCCAUGCAGGCGGCAUGCAACCGCGCCAGGUGGACGCGCUUCUCCGACUUCUGACACGCCAGCUUGGAGGCUCAGGCCCACGCGUCACGCAACCAGCGCGCCAGUUGCUGCAUGCAAGCAACCGCGCCACCACUUGUGCCACCGUCGCGCCUCUUCGGUUGCGGAGCCUAUGCCGCGACUCGAGGCGACCCAGCGCACGACCCAGCGGCGCCAGCCUGGCGCGACGGUCAAUGCGGCCGAAAGUGGGCCGGCAGUAAUGACGGUGGCAGGCGGACGGGAGCAGCAGUCACGUCGUCAGCCAGGCUCACGUCCCAUCCAGGGACAGCAAGAGAGCCUCCUCCCACGGCGUGAAGACGGUGCGCCCGUGAUCCGUUCCUCGAACGGCUCGCGCACGCGCAACGGCCGCCCCGCCAACCACUCGCCCCGUCGCAUUAACUCCGCGGCAGAUAGGGCGGCGCUUCUGGCAGGAGAAGCGGACGACGCUUCGCCUUCGCCGUAAUAACCGCGCCAAAAAAGGUACGCCACGUCGUUCGAUUUCGUAUCCUUUUCCUUUUUUUCCUCUUUCUCUAUCUCUUACAACAGGGACCGGGAAAGGGGGAUACCCCGAAAAGGAUCCUUCCCUGUGAAGGAACCGGGCUCCGAGCCCCCCUACUGAUCAGAGGUUCGAAGGCUGGCCCUCCGAAGGGUUCAACAGUCGCCUCAGAUCGCGUGGGCCCGACACCCACUACUGGUCAGGGGUUCGAAGGCCGGCCCCCCGAAGGGCUCCACGGCCGCCUCAGGCUACUCGGGCUCCGCACCCAUUACUGAUCAGAGGUUCGAAGGCUGGCCCCCGAAGGGUUCACAGGCGCCUCAGACGCCGAGCGAGGGAUGACCAGGGGUACGUUCGAUACAUAACCGAGGCUCGGGCUGCGCUCCCGAGGUACCCUAGGACAUUUCCGAGACCAGCGGGAGCGAUCUUGUAACGGAAUCCCAUCGGAGGGAGGCAUCGAGCCCUCGGACCCCGUCGCCAGGGGACCGGGUCCAGCAGAUCACCCGCAGGUACUUUUGGGCGUGCCUCUGGGCCCCUAGCCGACCCCCAACGAACGGGGCACGGACGUCCACUCGGAUUACCCGCUUGCAGCUCACCGGAGACACCAUGUUCGGUGCCCAUCGAGGGUAACAUGGCGCACUCCCCCCUCCUCCUUGCGGAAAGGUGACGUAGGGGCGUAUGCAAAAAGUCGAGUCUGUCCCUGAUCGUCCUCUCGCCCUGUGCGGAGGCUCGGGGGCUGCUCUCGCAAACCCGGCUCCGGCCGAACCGUUGACAGCGUCAACAUACCAGCCCGAGAACUUGGGCCCCGACCGUGCACCCGGGCUACGGCCAGUUCGCAUGAGGGAACGACCAGACCAGCCGAAGCGUUACGCAAGGCAUUAAGACCUCGAAGGAGUGAAACCACUCCUCCGAGGCCUCGGGGGCUACACCCAGCGGGUGCGCUCGUGCGCACCCACCGGAAUGAAAUGCAACCGAGGAAGGCUGGUCCCCUUGCAAAAAGUGCGACGAAAGCCUCCAAGCGAGUGCUAACACUCCCUUCGAGGCUCAGGGGCUACUAUCGGGGACCAUAAUUAGGGGUACCCUCAAGACGCCUAAUUCUCAGCUCGUAACCCCCAUCAGCAUAAAGCUGCAAAGGCCUGAUGGGUGCGAUUAAGUCAGGGAUCAGUCCAUACGAGUGACUCGAUCACGCUUCACCCGAGCCUAGCCUCGGACUCGGGCAGCCGACCUCGAGGGACUUCCGUCUCGCCCGAGGCCCCCCUUUUAACGGCGGACACAUCUCCGGCUCGCCCGAGGCCUUGGCUUCACUAAGAAGCAACCCUGACUAAAUCGCCGCACCGACUGACCGAGUUGCAGGGGCAUUUAACGCAAAGGUGGCCUGACACCUCUAUCCUGACGCACGCCCCCCGGCAGAGCCGAAGUGACCGCCGUCACUCCGCUGCUCCACUGACCGGUCUGACAGAAGGACAGCGCCGCCUGCGCCACUCCGACUGCGGUGCCACUCGACAGAGUGAGUCUGACAGGCAGUCAGGCCUCGCCAGGGGCGCCAUAGCGAACUCCGCUCCGCCCGACCCCAGGGCUCGGACUCGGGCUAAGACCCGGAAGACGGCGAACUCCGCUCCGCCCGACCCCAGGGCUCGGACUCGGGCUAAGACCCGGAAGACGGCGAACUCCGCUCCGCCCGACCCCAGGGCUCGGACUCGGGCUAAGACCCGAAAGACGGCGAACUCCGCUCCGCCCAACCCCAGGGCUCGGACUCGGGCUAAGACCCGGAAGACGGCGAACUCCGCUCCGCCCGACCCCAGGGCUCGGACUCUGGCUAAGACCUGGAAGACGGCGAACUCCGCUCCGCCCGACCCCAGGGCUCGGACUCGGGCUAAGACCCGGAAGACGGCGAACUCUGCUCCGCCCGACCCCAGGGCUCGGACUCGGGCUAAGACCCGGAAGACGGCGAACUCCGCUCCGCCCGACCCCAGGGCUCGGACUCGGGCUCGGCCCCGGAAGACGACGAACUCCGCCUCGCCCGACCCCAGGGCUCGGACUCCGCCCUGGCCUCUGCCGAACGACUUCCGCCUCGCCCGACCCAGGGGCUCGGACUCGGCCUCGGCAACGGAAGACAGAUUCGACCCCAGAUUCGGAGGAGCCCCCACGUCGCCUGGCCUCGGGCGCGGGCCCGCCACGUCAACAGGGAGCGCCAUCACCACUCUACCCCGAGCCGACUCGGGCUGCAGAGAACAAGACCGGUGUCCCAUCUGGCCAGCUCCACCAGAUAGACAAUGAUGGCGCCUCCCAAGCUCUAUGACGGCGGCGGCUCUCAGCUCUCUUACGGAAGCAGGUGGACGUCAGCAAGGACUCGACCGCUCCGACAGCUGUCCUUCCGCCAAGCUCCGUCGCUCCUCCGACAGCCACGACAUCACACCAGCAGGGUGCCAAGAUCUCUCCGGCUGCCACAUUGGCAUGUACUUAGGGCGCUAGCUCUCCCUCCGCUAGACACGUAGCACUCUGCUACACCCCCAUUGUACACCUGGAUCCUCUCCUUACGACUAUAAAAGGAAGGACCAGGGCCUUCUUAGAGGAGGUUGGCCGCGCGGGACCGAGGACGGGACAGGCGCUCUCUUGGGGCCGCUCGCUUCCCUCACCCGCGUGGACGCUUGUAACCCCCCUACUGCAAGCGCACCCGACCUGGGCGCGGGACGAACACGAAGGCCGCGGGACUUCCACCUCUCUCACGCCCGUCUCCGGCCACCUCGCCUCUCCCCCCUUCGCGCUCGCCCACGCGCUCGACCCAUCUGGGCUGGGGCACGCAACACACUCACUCGUCGGCUUAGGGACCCCCCGGUCUCGAAACACCGACAAGUAAUUUCUUGGGAUGUACUGCCUUCAUGGUGCUUGUGCAAGACCUUAUUGAAUUAGAAAGUUAGUUAAAUGUGUUCUAUCACCUUUGCCAAGUUUUGAGUGUUAAAAAGUGACAGGUCUAAGUGUAGUAACCUAUCGAUGUUAUGCUUUAGCUUAAGGCUAAUUGUGUUAAAUGUGUUGUUUCUUGAUGUUGCGUUGGUUCAUUUAAUUUAGAGAACCGUAAUUAUUGUGUUUAAUCGUAUGUCGAUAACUAGUGUCUUCGUAGAAAGGGGUACGACGCUUCGCCGCUAGGUGUUUAAUUCGAUAUCGCAUAACACUAUUUAGGUUUGUAAUAUUCCUGUUUAUAUGCACUCAUGUGCAUCAUGCAUCUCAAUUAGGUACGAUAAUUGAUCGCGUGAUGCGGAAGACGAACCAAGUCGACCCCAAGCGCGGGCUACUCCGCAUGGAGAUGCUGAUGCACGAAUCUGCCUGAUCAAGUGCUAGGACAAGGAUGAUCGUCAAGUGGACGUCACCUAACAACACUAACCUAGUGUUACCCAGGCAAGCCCCGGUGCAUUUGCCACCUCCUUGUUGUUUUAAAACUUUUAUCACUUAUAUGCUGCAAUAGGUGAUAGGAGUUGAGUGAAGAAACAAUUGAUGCAUUGCCAUUCCUUGGAAUUCGAUUACUAUUCCUUGAUACCUGUUUUAUAAAGAGAACUAAUGAGGCUUAGCCCUGCUUAGAAACUAAAAGUUGUUUCUUUUAAAAAGAAUGUUGUGCAACACUGGAUAUGGGUUUUAUGAAAAAGGAACUUGUAAUAAUGAAGGCAUCACUCGCGAUGAUGAAUUCAUUAUUCGAGUAUUGUACCUCUGUCAGGUACAUGGUUUGGGUGUUAAAUAAUAAGAUGAGACCAGACGUUGAGCAGGAAAGGUCGCCCGUCUGUGUCGAUUAAGGACCGUUCCGAUUGUUGGCCUGCUGAUCUAGGACCCUUUAACUGGCCACAUGCCUCAUCAUGGGUAAGCUUAGCCUCGGCUGGACCAAUACCAGAAAGGCCGGCCCGCAAUGGGAGUGGAGAGAUGGCGAGAGUAUCGUGUAUCCACCUGGCAAGAGGCUGGAUGGUGGGGUACUGAGCUCUCGGUUGGCGGGGACCCGUUCUGGUCUUGAGAAACCCGGUGGCGAGUUGACAUAUGCAAGGGUUAAGUGCUACAUAUGUCGUGUGGUUGGAGAUCCCCAGCUGGGUAUUAAUCGAUUCGGAUCGCCGAACUUCUCGGAUAUGAAGACUGGAUCUUCGACCCUCAUCGUAGAUAACAAGUGAAACUAAAGCUGCUAAAAUGAAGCUAGUGUAGGACAAGUGAAUGCUCUAGAUUAGGCAAAUCUAGAUUCAGGAAAAGUACUUAAUCUGUGAAGUAAAACUUUGGCAUAAGGAUCCACUACUAGUAAGCUUUUCUGCAAAAACGAGUCUUUGAAAUUUGAUGAGCUUUAUCUUGAUUCCCAACAAACCAGCAUACCCUUGAGAGUCUUUUCUUUAGUCGGGUAAGUCUUGCUGAGUAAUUGCAUACUCAGGGUUUUAUUCCCUGUUGUUUUUCAGGUUAUAAUUUUGUUCUGUUGUGGAUGGUGCUAAGUGCCGGUGGGCUCGGCCUUCUUAUAUAAGUAUAUCCCAUCUUUAGCUUCUUUAUUGAGGAUUGUCACUUAAGCUAGCAUGUAUUUUAAAAACUUAUAAAUAUUUUAUACAUUUUAAAGUGUAAUUCUGUUGAAUCAUUUUCUUUUGUAAUCACUCCAAUAAUUGUAUAAUGUAAACUUAUUGUAACAUGUAAUUAUUUUGCAAUAAAGAAUUUAUUUCCGCUGCAAAUAUUGGUGUGUGAUUUGUGUUUACUUAAUCUUGCGAUCUUGGCGGUAAGUCGUUUAUCCGGGGUCCUCGGGGCACUCGGACAGAUCCUGUUAAGAUGUUUGGUGCACACGCAUAGCUGUCUGAGGUUUUUGAGACGAGGACAGAUGCGUGUGGGCCCGAUAACUUGGGAGGUUCUGCGACAGCUGGUAUCGGAGCUGGAUUAAGUAUAUACGGUCACAUACAUAUUUUCAAAAUAAAAGUUUUGGUUUUGAAAAACCUAUUUUCAACUAAACACAUUGUUUGGCUUUGAAAAACUAUAAUGCUAGCGACAUCCUCUAUUAAGCCCUAAAUUAAGGACUACCUGGUGGCUUAGUUGAAAACCAUAACCGGGUGGAUAUUGCAUACAUGUGUAUUGUUAUUUUUGAAAGCCAUUCAGUCUUGAAUGGAUCGACGCUCAAGGUAAGGUGAGAUGUGAGAGCAUGACCGAACAACCGUCGGUCUAGGGAAGUGCUUAAUUGUGGCGCUUGAUUAUAUACAUGUUUUACAUAUGUAUAUAUGAAGGCUGCGAUGUGGAGUAUUUACUUUUCGGGAAUUCAGUACCCCAUUGAUGUGUAUGGGUAUACAGACAUGGGAAUACUGAGAAGUGUAAUGUACUUGUAACGACGCACCUACGCUCAGGUAAGAAGGUGAGUUACCAUAAUGAGCUGCCCUAUGGUUAAAGUGUGGCAGCGGCGCCUAUGCGUGGCUCGGCGCUUAAUGAUGAGCUGACCUCCAUAUAGCAAUAUAUGGAGUAUAAACUGUGAUACACUGUCAUAUGUGACUUGCAUCAUUGGGAAUUGGGCUGUAAUGGAUUUUCUGCAGGUACACUAACCUCGAAAACGUAUGUGUAGCUGACGACUAGAAAAAUACCGUGAGAGAACGUAUGCCACCGAUAUAGAACGUUAUUUCCACAAUAUGUUGGCAAAAUUAGUGAGGACGAAUAGGACGAGCAUGCAUCCUGAUUGUUGCAUCAUGUUUGUCACCUAUACACCCAAAAUGCUUCUCUCAUCCUUAUUCCAGAAACCAGUGAUUGUAGAUAAUCUGGUGUAAUGUUGAAUUAUGAACUUCGAUGAAAUAGCUGCCCUCCAUUCUUUAGGUAAUCUGUUUAGGUGUUAUAUGUAUUUUGCCCUAGUGCUUGAUGUGUCGAUAGAAGGUUAGUGACUUGUUUGCCUAAACCCAAAUCUAGGCCAUGUUCUUAGUUGGUGAAACAUGACCAAAGUUGAUUUUUCCGUUACCCCUCCUUGACCCAAACUUAUACAAAUAAAUGUUUAGGUAAUUUCUUCGUUGGACAAAAAGGGUACUUAAGCUUAAAACAAGAAUCUCGAGUCAUGUCUCAUUCCAAAACCAUUCCCUUGUUUGGUUGGUGCAAGCUGAUGUUUCUAUUCCACUUUGCCUCUUCUGGAGGAUCACAUUGUUGCUUUACCAACCCAGUCUAGGAAAGACCUAUUCAGUCGUUUUCUUGAAUUUGGUGCCUUUGAUUUUUCUCAUAUCUAUCGAAGGCAUACCAACUUAAUCUUGUGAUUGUUUUUCCUCCGUAUCUAAUCAGAUACUAAUUCUUGACUUGUAUUGUUGCGAUGGGCAUAGAAAUAUGCUUGGGGCUGAAUUAACAGUCUCCCACCGUACUCCCUUCAUCAACCAAUUUUUGGUUUUGGCCAUAUCGUGUUCACUUCAUCGGGCCAUAAUCUAUUUGGUUCUCUACUUGUAACUGUUCUUAACAAGUGGAGUAUCUCUUUGUAUAUUGUCACCCUUGCUCAAUCUAUUGGUGUCGCGCGAGAUUUCUUAUUGGUUACGUCUAGUAAUGGUGUUGUGACUAAAAUCGAUGGUGCCGCGAUGAAACCGAGGGCCUCCUGUGGACGAUCGACACACGGUUGUGCUGCCCGGCACACGCUGGUAUCACGAUUAGUAGUUGUGAUCCAUUAUGAGACUAUAUCAAUGGGUUAUCUUGGCACAAUCUAUUUCUGCUACAUAAGAUUCAUUAUUGGUGCUAGUUCGAUGAUGGUGUCCUAGUCAAUAACUUAGGGUGCCGCGUAAAUCUGAAAGUCUCAUGUGGCGGCCGACACAUGGUAGUACUAUUCGGUACGCUAGUAUCGAAGUUCUUGGCUAUGAUCCAUUAUGGAACCACACUAACAUGCUAUCUUCCGUAGAUCUCUUCCUUGAAACGAUUUCGGUGUUGUUUGUCAAGUGAUCAAGCAACAUCUAUCAUCUCUAUUGGAUCAAAAGGACAUACCACUUCCAUGUGUGGUCUCUUUUUCCUUGACUUUGGUAGUGACUACAUACAUACAAGUUCCCUUUACAUCCUUUGUGUAAAGGUGAAGCUUUGAAGCUUUUUAGUGUUGGAAAACAACUGAUUAGCUCUUGAAAUGGAGAUUGACUUUUCCUGCUGCUGAGAUGCAGGAGUUUGUUCAUUCGCUCACUUAUUUAAUCCAUGUAUUCCUGGACCAAGUCGGUUUAUCUUGCAUAAAGAAACGGAUGAACAAUUUGACCAAAUAGAUUUUUACCCAAAUACAUAAUCUCUUGUUAACAAAGAGAGCUCUCAACCGUUGGCUUACCAAUGGUACUGAGAGGACUUACUCAAUGUCAACCGUAGUUCAACAAGUUGGUUUUACUAACUUGUAACUGCAUUGGGAACAACGGUUCGGAGAUCGUUUUGUCGAGUUGUCUAAACUCACUUUGGUUCAAUCCAUCCUAGGAAGGUACUUGUAAGAAUCAAGUCAAGUUGGCCAGUAACCACCUAGCCAUCGCUCCAGCCAUGCCUCGAUCGCCUCACGCGUGCUUUUCUAGCAUGUGUGAUCAUGUCGAACCAUGCCUAGUGCUUGAUAAAAUGGAUUGGUUGCAAAGUCAACAUCAACGGAUCUCUUCGUUGAUAUUUUCCCGAGUCCUUAUCAUUUUUCUUGGACUUGGAUUCACUGGCUAACACGAGUUAACUGGGAUGUUAUUCGACAUUCACACCUGUCUCGGGUGCUAUGAACUUACCAUGACCACUUGUUGGUAAACCUCCUUCGGUGUGUUUUACCCAAGAUGGUGCAUCUGAUUCUAUUUGGGGUAAAGUCGCAUAUCUACUGCUCGCCCAACAGACUCAGAUAGUACAGUUCAUCAGAAAAAGCAAACUGCACACAUGGAACCUUAUAUGUUCCCCUGGCAGACAUCGUCUCUAUUGGUGGACAUUUCUAAAUUAGCCUAAGGCAAUAUAUGUUAUGUCCACGAGAGAAACCACAUUCUGAGACACUCGCCUUUGCUCAGAACUGUCUUACGAUUAUCGCUGAUAUGGACAUGGGUUACAUGCUACUCUACUCUUAGAAGUCUUUCGCUCCGAAUCUCGGACGAGAUUCUUUUAAGGGGGGAGGGCUGUAACACCCCAGGUGUUUAUAUUCCGCUCGACAACGAGUACGAAUUUAAGCACGAAAUAUCAGUGGAUAAACCAGAUUUUAAAUUUUAAUCAUCUUCGGUUAUUGCAAUUUUAAUAUCGCAUAUGUUUCGCCUAUCGCGAGUUCAACUUUGUUCGUCCGGGCUCGUCCUAAAUUUUCGUGCUGUUCGGAACAUAUUUGUUCUGAAAAUCGGUGCGUCCGGUGAAUAUUUAAAAUUCAUCGCUCGCGCGAAUCCGAAUUCGGAAGCCCGAACCCCUAGGAUGAUUUUUAGCCUGGGCGAAUUAAAUAGAACUCGACGACUAAGUUUUCAAUGCAAAAUAAUUUAAUCUCUUUUUUGUCAUCCGUGACAUCGUGUCUACGGAUUUUUAAUUAAAUUGCUCUCUAACCGAGUGUUCGAGUAGCGAACGGAAUUCGUCUAAAAUCAACUGAAUCAGAUGCAGAUUUAAAUAACAAAGCCGAAAUCCGUUUAAUUCGUUCUGUUUGCAUCAUAUCCGAACCCGAUAUUAUCGGAGACAAAGAGAUUAACGUUUGAUUUUAUAGCAGAUGAUACUGGGUCCGAAAGAAUACUCUGGAUCGCUUGCGUUACCAUGAAACCAUGCACAAGCUUAAUAAUUGGGAUUAUUCUUUAGUGUGCUAUUCUAGGCAGAGAAAUCAAACGGGUUCGAAAAACAGAUAAAUUUUUAUCCGGGUUCAACUAAAUUAAUAGCAUCUCAAGUACUAUAUUUUGAUAGUGUUUCGACCCGUAUGUUUAUCGCCUUGAUCCAAAUCUUUAAAUAUAAAUAACGGCUAAAAAUUCAUCUGACUUUAGUAUCCAUCUAAUCAAAGAAUGUCUAAAUAUUAUCGUUGGCCUCAUUUAGAUCUGACCCAUUUAUACAUUUUCUAAAUCCAAAUUUUAGAACCUAGAUUUAACCUUGUUCUUUUCUUUAAAAUGAUACGAGAGAGGAAAGAAUUUUUUUUUUACAAAAAAAACUUUAUCAUAUCCUAGCGCCGCUUCCUUUAUCUGUUCUUAUCUUUGAGUCGUUGUCAUCCAUUCUUAUCCUCCGUAUAAUCUCCUCUUCAUCCUAAAAUCAGCAAUUCACUAGAGUCCCUAGGAUAUUUCUCCCUGAACGUGCACAACGUCCUAGAGGCUCUAUCACGUCAUCUUCUAGCUUCCAUAUGAUUCCUCUCCACUAGUCAUUCCUCUAGAAAAUCUCCAGCCGCUGCCCUCCAUCUGAUAUUUCGUAUAUCUGCUGGCUAGCGCUCGGCUUCUUUCGCACACGCUCCUGCUGCCGGUACCCAGUCCUACGGCCCCUCCUCUCUCCACCUCGACUCGCCGGCGUUGCUCGGCUGCAGCUCGUCGGAGCUUCCUGUUCUCAGCGCGCCGACCUCCCUCUUCUCCUUCAUGUCCGGCCGCCGGUCUGGCCGAGGACCCUGGUCGUGGGGUCGCGUCCUCCUCCCUCGUCGCGGACCUGCCGUGUCCUGGGCGCCAUUCCAGCACUGCCAGGUUCCGCGCCAUCGUGCCUCUGGGUCCUCGCCGCGGUUCAGGCCGUCGAUGCCUGUUGCCCCGACGCUCCCUCACGCUCCUUUAUCAGCCUCGCCUAGACCUCCGCCUCCUCGUCGGACUGCACACACGCCGCCGCCAUUUCUUGCAGUUUCGUCGCGCCAUCCCCUCUGAUUUCCUUGUUCUCGUCGGCUUAAACUCCGUUGACGUACCCUGCAAGCAGGUUUGACGCCCUCUCAAUUAUUCUGCUCGUUUCACUAACCGAUGCCUGUGCCUUGAGGUUAACUAUGUGUAUGUGUGUAUGUAUCGAGAGAAAAUCCUAGAUGUUAAAUCAUGUAGAAUAGUGAAGUCCAGUUCGUCGCUCGCCAGGUGCUCGAUAUAUUGCCUGAGUCGGAUUUGUCACCAUUUUCGCGAGUCCUGACUCGAUUUAGGUAUUGUGUAAGUUUAGAUUCGCUUGCAGUGAAGUUUAGUUCAAUCAGUUAGUCUUCGAAUAUUUGCGCAAUUAGAAAUAUUUUUUUUCCAUUAGUGAAAUAAAUCACACAAUGGAAGUAAUAAAAUGAAUAAUUUAUUGUAUCUGAUUUUGGGAUUGAAUGGAGUCCAUGGACCACAAUUCACAAGUUGAUCCUUGGCGUGUGCUUUAUGUAGCUAGAACUAUAAUUCACUUGAUGCUUCAUCUUCUCAUACGUAAGGUCUAAAACUCAUAAUCGUCGUCGGUUCCGCUGUAGUCGAGUCGAAUUGAUUAUGAUACUAUUAAAUCUUGGAGUUUCUCGCAGCUAAGCUUAAUUCAGUUUGGGUAUGGAUAGUUAGAUAACUAGUUUAAGUGUACUUAAUCACCUUUCUUUAAUAAAGUAAAUACUAGAUAAUUAAGAAAGAUUGGAUAAUGUUGAGUGAAGUCCAUGGAACGUCGACCUUGGUUAAUCCAUGGCACGCCUGUGAUGUUUGCCUGAAUGCAAGCUAGGAUGAGUUGCUUCUAAAUGAGUAACUCCAUUUUUACUCUAAAUUAGUAUGUUUAUCUAAUCAUCUUGUUAUAUGGUGGACUAGUAAGUACCUUAGGCAAUAAUUUAUUAAUCUAUAAUGUACUAUUGGAGCUUAUAAAACUAGUUAAAUUACUCUUAACUUUAAUCUAAGUCUUAGGUGGCUAUCACUGGUGAAUCUAAGUUUUAGUAAUUUCUUGGGAUGUACUGCCUUCUUGGUGCUUGUGCGAGACCUUAUUGAAUUAGAAAGUUAGUUAAAUGUGUUCUAUCACCUUUGCCAAGUUUUGAGUGUUAAAAAGUGACAGGUCUAAGUGUAGUAACCUAUCGAUGUUAUGCUUUAGCUUAAGGCUAAUUGUGUUAAAUGUGUUGUUUCUUGAUGUUGCGUUGGUUCAUUUAAUUUAGAGAACCGUAAUUAUUGUGUUUAAUCGUAUGUCGAUAACUAGUGUCUUCGUAGAAAGGGGUACGACGCUUCGCCGCUAGGUGUUUAAUUCGCUAUCGCAUAACACUAUUUAGGUUUGUAAUAUUCCUGUUUAUAUGCACUCAUGUGCAUCAUGCAUCUCAAUUAGGUACGAUAAUUGAUCGCGUGAUGCGGAAGACGAACCAAGUCGACCCCAAGCGCGGGCUACUCCGCAUGGAGAUGCUGAUGAACGAAUCUGCCUGAUCAAGUGCUAGGACAAGGAUGAUCGUUAAGUGGACGUCACCUAACAACACUAACCUAGUGUUACCCAGGCAAGCCCCGGUGCAUUUGCCACCUCCUUGUUGUUUUAAAACUUUUAUCACUUAUAUGCUGCAUUAGGUGAUAGGAGUUGAGUGAAGAAACAAUUGAUGCAUUGCCAUUCCUUGGAAUUCGAUUACUAUUCCUUGAUACCUGUUUUAUAAAGAGAACUAAUGAGGCUUAGCCCUGCUUAGAAACUAAAAGUUGUUUCUUUUAAAAAGAAUGUUGUGCAACACUGGAUAUGGGUUUUAUGAAAAAGGAACUUGUAAUAAUGAAGGCAUCACUCGCGAUGAUGAAUUCAUUAUUCGAGUAUUGUACCUCUGUCAGGUACAUGGUUUGGGUGUUAAAUAAUAAGAUGAGACCAGACGUUGAGCAGGAAAGGUCGCCCGUCUGUGUCGAUUAAGGACCGUUCCGAUUGUUGGCCUGCUGAUCUAGGACCCUUUAACUGGCCACAUGCCUCAUCAUGGGUAAGCUUAGCCUCGGCUGGACCAAUACCAGAAAGGUCGGCCCGCAAUGGGAGUGGAGAGAUGGCGAGAGUAUCGUGUAUCCACCUGGCAAGAGGCUGGAUGGUGGGGUACUGAGCUCUCGGUUGGCGGGGACCCGUUCUGGUCUUGAGAAACCCGGUGGCGAGUUGACAUAUGCAAGGGUUAAGUGCUACAUAUGUCGUGUGGUUGGAGAUCCCCAGCUGAGUAUUAAUCGAUUCGGAUCGCCGAACUUCUCGGAUAUGAAGACUGGAUCUUCGACCCUCAUCGUAGAUAACAAGUGAAACUAAAGCUGCUAAAAUGAAGCUAGUUUAGGACAAGUGAAUGCUCUAGAUUAGGCAAAUCUAGAUUCAGGAAAAGUACUUAAUCUAUGAAGUAAAACUUUGGCAUAAGGAUCCACUACUAAUAAGCUUUUCUGCAAAAACGAGUCUUUGAAAUUUGAUGAGCUUUAUCUUGAUUCCCAACAAACCAGCAUACCCUUGAGAGUCUUUUCUUUAGUCGGGUAAGUCUUGCUGAGUAAUUGCAUACUCAGGGUUUUAUUCCCUGUUUUUUUUCAGGUUAUAAUUUUGUUCUGUUGUGGAUGGUGCUAAGUGCCGGUGGGCUCGGCCUUCUUAUAUAAGUAUAUCCCAUCUUUAGCUUCUUUAUUGAGGAUUGUCACUUAAGCUAGCAUGUAUUUUAAAAACUUAUAAAUACUUUAUACAUUUUAAAGUGUAAUUCUGUUGAAUCAUUUUCUUUUGUAAUCACUCCAAUAAUUGUAUAAUGUAAACUUAUUGUAACAUGUAAUUAUUUUGCAAUAAAGAAUUUAUUUCCGCUGCAAAUAUUGGUGUGUGAUUUGUGUUUACUUAAUCUUGCGAUCUUGGCGGUAAGUCGUUUAUCCGGGGUCCUCGGGGCACUCGGACAGAUCCUGUUAAGUUGUUUGGUGCACACGCAUAGCUGUCUGAGGUUUUUGAGACAAGGACAGAUGCGUGUGGGCCCGAUAACUUGGGAGGUUCUGCGACAUUCUUCGAGCGACAUUUUGGUGUACCUGGGAUUCUCACGAAUGUUAUUCACCAAAUGAGGAUCAAGAACGGUAAAGGACCUUAGCAUCAAUCGGACUACGUCGUGGUCUGUCCAUCGCGUGCUUCCGGAGCUCCUUAUUUUGUUGAUAAGGGUCUUGAGCCGGUUGUAUGUUUGUGUCGGCUCCUCGCCCCUUAUCAUCGCGAAUCGUCCAAGCUCGCCCUCCACCAACUCCAUCUUGGUGAGCAAGGUCACGUCGUUCCCCUCAUGUGAAAUCUUGAGGGUGUCUCAGAUCUGCUUGGCGUUAUCCAAGCCGCUCACUUUGUGGUAUUCAUCCCU
rnacentral:lncRNA from 1 species